rnacentral:rRNA from 1 species
UACGUAGGGGCAAGCGUUAUCCGGAAUUACUGGGUGUAAAGGGUACGUAGGCGGCCCAUUAAGUCAGAUGUGAAAGCCCGGAGCUCAACUCCGGGAUUGCAUUUGAAACUGGUGGGCUAGAGUACAGGAGAGGAAAGUGGAAUUCCUAGUGUAGCGGUGAAAUGCGUAGAUAUUAGGAAGAACACCAGUGGCGAAGGCGGCUUUCUGGACUGUAACUGACGCUGAGGUACGAAAGCGUGGGGAGCGAACAGG